rnacentral:lncRNA from 1 species
AACACAUUAUUCAAUAUGUGAUGAGGAGGCCAUACUUAGGGCUUUUCAGUUUGGUGGCUCAUAAAAGACAUAACCCUGGGGAUUUGCGGUGUGAGUUAUUAUGAGAGAUAUUAGUUCCUGUGGGUCAUGAGGCUUCUGAGUCAGGGCUACUCCCACAGGUGUCCAAGUCUGUAUCCUCUAGAUCAUGGACAGCCUAUUGAUCCUUCUAACUCUGCAGCAAAGCCUCCAAGUUAAAAAGGAAAAUAAGUCUCUCAAUACCAUUAUUUAUUCAGCUGCACACAUGUCUUGAACUGCUGAAAUAUAAAAAUGAAACCAAAGCAGCUUCCAUCUAAUCACUUUUUUUAAAAAUGCCAUGCAGAAGAUGUUUAUCACAAUCACCAUCAUCAUCAUCAUCACCACUGCUGUUGCCACUGCAUCACCAUCCAAUAUGAACACCACCAACUUAAUCAUGUCCCUGAUUCAACAGUUUUCAACUUGUUUAUACAUAAAAUAAUGACAGAG